rnacentral:rRNA from 1 species
UAGGGAAUUUUCGUCAAUGGGGGGAAGCCCUGAACGAGCAAUGCCGCGUGUGUGAAGAAGGUCUUCGGAUCGUAAAGCACUGUUGUAAGUGAAGAAUGCCACAUAGAGGAAAUGCUAUGUGGGUGACGGUAGCUUACCAGAAAGCCACGGCUAACUACGUGCCAGCAGCCGCGGUAAUACGUAGGUGGCAAGCGUUAUCCGGAAUCAUUGGGCGUAAAGGGUGCGUAGGUGGCACGAUAAGUCUGAAGUAAAAGGCAACAGCUCAACUGUUGUAUGCUUUGGAAACUGUCGAGCUAGAGUGCAGAAGAGGGCGAUGGAAUUCCAUGUGUAGCGGUAAAAUGCGUAGAUAUAUGGAGGAACACCAGUGGCGAAGGCGGUCGCCUGGUCUGUAACUGACACUGAUGCACGAAAGCGUGGGGAGCAAAUAGGAUUAGAUACC